UACAGAGGGUGCAAACGUUGCUCGGAAUUAUUGGGCGUAAAGCGCGUGUAGGCGGCCCGUUAUGUCGGCUGUGAAAGCCCAUGGCUCAACCAUGGAAGUGCAGCCGAAACUGGUGGGCUAGAGUCCUGGAGAGGGUGGCGGAAUGCCCAGUGUAGAGGUGAAAUUCGUAGAUAUUGGGUAGAACACCGGUGGCGAAGGCGGCCACCUGGACAGCGACUGACGCUAAGACGCGAAAGCGUGGGGAGCGAACAGG
rnacentral:rRNA from 1 species